CCUGUGGAGGAGGACGCCGAAGGUGGGGCUAAUGACUGGGGUGAAGUCGUAACAAGGUAGCCGUACCGGAAGGUGCGGCUGGAUCACCUCCUAACAGGGAGACAACAAAAUGUUUAAUAUUAUUAUUUUGUCACCUUAGGUCGAUCGGUACCUCACGUUCUUAAUUCAUUAAGAAUUUUAUUUCCUAAGUUUUUCUAGGUCACACCCAUAAUUUUUCCUGGGCCAUUAGCUCAGGUGGUUAGAGCGCACCCCUGAUAAGGGUGAGGUCCCUGGUUCAAGUCCAGGAUGGCCCAUAUCUCUAUGUUGGGGGUAUAGCUCAGUUGGUAGAGCGCCUGCUUUGCAAGCAGGAUGUCAGCGGUUCGAGUCCGCUUACCUCCACUGAUUACCACCUCUUCCAUAUUCUUUUGAAAGGAAAAGUUUUGAGUUGUGAUCAAAUUCUGAACGAAUCUAGCUUCCUAAUUAAAUUAUUAAGAUGCUGGACUCAUUGAAUUAAUUUCAUUGUUUUCAGAGAACCUUGACAACUGCAUAGAUUAUUUUUAAAGACAAUAAGCAUCUUUAAUGAUGCAGAUUUAUUAUUUGUGCGAAUGCAUUAAUAACAAUUCUAUUAAGCUGAUGCUUCAAUUUUGAAGUUAUUGGUCAAGCUACAAAGGGCUCACGGAGGAUACCUAG
rnacentral:misc_RNA from 1 species